rnacentral:rRNA from 1 species
GAUGAACGCUGGCGGCGUGCCUAAUACAUGCAAGUCGAGCGAACGGACGAGAAGCUUGCUUCUCUGAUGUUAGCGGCGGACGGGUGAGUAACACGUGGAUAACCUACCUAUAAGACUGGGAUAACUUCGGGAAACCGGAGCUAAUACCGGAUGAUAUUUUGAACCGCAUGGUUCAAAAGUGAAAGACGGUCUUGCUGUCACUUAUAGAUGGAUCCGCGCUGCAUUAGCUAGUUGGUAAGGUAACGGCUUACCAAGGCAACGAUGCAUAGCCGACCUGAGAGGGUGGUCGGCCACACUGGAACUGAGACACGGUCCAGACUCCUACGGGAGGCAGCAGUAGGGAAUCGUCCGCAAUGGGCGAAAGCCUGACGGAGCAACGCCGCGUGAGUGAUGAAGGUCUUCGGAUCGUAAAACUCUGUUAUUAGGGAAGAACAUAUGUGUAAGUAACUGUGCACAUCUUGACGGUACCUAAUCAGAAAGCCACGGCUAACUACGUG